AGUCUUAUCAACGGUCUACCGAUUUAGCUGAGCGCGCGUUUCUAAAUGGGGCAUAAAAUAUAUGUCUUCUUUGCAAUUCAGUUCAGUUCCAAAAUAUAAGCAACAUGAAAUUAUUGAUUGUCCUUUUGGCUUUAGUCGGAGGUAUUAUGAUCGCUCCUUAGGAGGUACUUUGCUGCAUUUUUAACGCAGAGUGCAAUUAUCCUCGUUUUCUACGGACAAGAGUUAAACGGCAUGUGAUAGUCUGGGAUUCAGGAAUCGAAUUUCCAUCCAAUCCCAAAUUAGGAAAAUAAUUUGUACUCAAGAAAAAAUAUUCCAGAUUUCUAUGCAAAAAGCAAAUAAACGAUAAUGCAUUGUGAUAAAUCAUAA